AGAUUAGAGUUUGAUCAUGGCUCAGGACGAACGCUGGCGGCGGGCUUAACACAUGCAAGUCGAAGGAGAAGGUAGAAGCUUGCUUUUACUGGAGACUGGCGGACGGGUGAGUAACGCGUAGAUAACCUGCCUAUAGCUGGGGGAUAACACUGCGAAAGUGGUGCUAAUACCGCAUAAUGCAGCGGGGCCGCAUGGCCAUAGUUGUUAAAGGUUUCGACCGGCUAUAGAUGGGUCUGCGUGCUAUUAGUUAGUUGGUAGGGUAACGGCCUACCAAGGCGAUGAUAGCUAGGGGGUCUGAGAGGAUGAUCCCCCACACUGGGACUGAGACACGGCCCAGACUCCUACGGGAGGCAGCAGUGAGGAAUCUUGCGCAAUGGGCGAAAGCCUGACGCAGCCACGCCGCGUGCCGGAUGAAGGCCCUAUGGGUUGUAAACGGCUUUUACUAGGGAAGAACGAGAGGGUUUCGAUCUUCUGUGACGGUACCUAGUGAAUAAGCACCGGCUAACUCCGUGCCAGCAGCCGCGGUAAUACGGAGGGUGCAAGCGUUGUCCGGAAUCAUUGGGUGUAAAGGGUACGUAGGCGGGAGCCUAAGUCUGGGGUGAAAUCUUGCCGCUUAACGGUAAAAUGGCCCUGGAUACUGGGUUUCUUGAGUGCAGAAGAGGCAGGUGGAAUUCGUGGUGUAGCG
rnacentral:rRNA from 1 species